rnacentral:rRNA from 1 species
UUAUAUGGUCAAGAAGAGAAGCGCAAACGGUGGAUGCCUUGGCAGUAAGAGGCGAAGAAGGACGUGGAAUCCUGCGAAAAGCUAUGGGGAGCUGGAAACGAGCGUUGAGCCAUAGAUGUCCGAAUGGGGGAACCCGGCUGCAGCGAUGCGGUCAUUUGCAUUUGAAUACAUAGGAUGCAAAGGCGAACUCGGGGAACUGAAACAUCUAAGUACCCGAAGGAAAAGAAAUCAAGAGAGAUUCUCCAAGUAGCGGCGAGC